rnacentral:rRNA from 1 species
CAGCAGCCGCGGUAAUACGUAGGUGGCAAGCGUUGUCCGGAAUUAUUGGGCGUAAAGGGCGCGUAGGCGGCGGCCAAAGUCAGGCGUGAAAUUCCCGGGCUCAACCUGGGGGCUGCGUUUGAUACUUGGUUGCUUGAGUGGGGAAGAGGGUCGUGGAAUUCCCAGUGUAGAGGUGAAAUUCGUAGAUAUUGGGAAGAACACCGGUGGCGAAGGCGGCGACCUGGUCCUUUACUGACGCUGAGGCGCGAAAGCGUGGGGAGCAAACAGGAUUAGAUACCCCUGUAGUCCCUGUCUCUUAUAC